rnacentral:tRNA from 1 species
AGCCUUGUAGUGAACUUUCAUGUCGAAUUGCAAAUUCGAAGAAGCAGCUUCAAUCCUGCCGGGGCUU